CUCAUUCUUUCUCUCUCUUCAACCUUACGCUCAGCAUUCCUCUCUCUUCAACCUUACGCUCAUAAGGAGCUUUACAGAAACCCUAAAAAAAUUCUUCUCUCUUGGAGAAGACGACCGGAGGCGGCGGCUCACGGCGGAGCCUCCGUCCAUCCCCGGUAACCCUAUCCAAAACGUGACCUAAACCACUACCUACAACCUCCCGAGUUCGAAUCUGGACUCUGAGAUCCCUAAACCAAACUCAAGGUGUUUGCAUGUUGCGAUUUAAAGCGAAAUAAAAGGGAUUCGUUAUAUUUACCACGGCGAAGGAGGUGGGUGGUGGCUUCAGGUGAAGAAGGAACGCUUUGAUCCGAGUCCGUCGUCGGCAACCCGUUGCAGUUUCGGAUAAGUUUUCUUUCUCAACUCGGAUAAGUUUUCUUCCUCAACCUGCUUCUUUGUUUGUUUUCCAUUUUUUAAUGAUUGUAUGGAUUGUUGUUGGUGCUUGGCUUGAAACUUAGGGUUUGGAUGUUUUAUGAACUGUUGUUUUGAUUAUUGCUUCAUAGAUUUUUUCAGAAUGUGUUCUUUGGUUUGAGUUUAACAGCCAAAAUGUUUUUGAUUGUUUUAUGGGAUUUCCAAAAUGUUUCUUCUGUUUCUUUGGAGUUAACAGAAAAAAAAUACUUUGACAAUUUUCUUCUGGAUUUCAUCCAAAAACCCUCCUUUUUUUACUGUUAAUUUGUUGUUGUUAUAUAUGUGAUGAAUGUUGAGGUUCUGAGAUAACUUGUUAAGUUAUCCUUUUUCCAGAUUUUGUGGGAUAAUUACCUUAUGGAUUUAAGGUUAUUGAUGUGGAUAUUGCAAAGUGUUCUUGAGUGUUCUCCUUGGUUUACUGUGUUUGCAUAAAGUGAAUGGACAUUGAUUGAAAAUUGGUUUGCUUUUGGAUUUGGGGCCCUGUAAUUAGGGAUUGAAAUUGGGUGCUUGGGAAUUUCAAGAAGCUUUUGGAAAAGUCUUUUGAAGAGUUGCUUCAAACUGCUGUAUUUUACCGCUUAUCUCCAACUUUUCAACCUAGCUGUAACAUAACUUUUGGGCAUGUUAUACAUUUUAAUUUUAAACAAAAAUUUAUUGUGAUAAUUAUGUAAAUACUUUGGAUUAUUAUAUAAACUUGGAAUUAAUUGGAACUUUGGAUUA